rnacentral:rRNA from 1 species
AUACGUAGGGGGCAAGCGUUAUCCGGAUUUACUGGGUGUAAAGGGAGCGUAGACGGUAGGGUAAGUCAGAUGUGAAAGCCCGGGGCUCAACCCCGGGAUUGCAUUUGAAACUAUCCGACUAGAGUGCAGGAGAGGUAAGUGGAAUUCCUAGUGUAGCGGUGAAAUGCGUAGAUAUUAGGAGGAACACCAGUGGCGAAGGCGGCUUACUGGACUGUAACUGACGUUGAGGCUCGAAAGCGUGAGGAGC